CUGGAAUGUUGUUCUCUGUGGUUUUCUAUCCUAGCAUUUGAUCUGCUUCUGAUUGCUAGUCAUAAUAUUUUGUAUCUUGGUAAAUUCCAAAGUGUAUUAAUAAAUAUAUGAAAAUCUUGUCUAUCUGGAUUGCAGACACAAGAUGUGGCUGUAGAGAAGAAUAAUGUUAACAUGUUCUCUUAGCUAGUAGAAAGGCUUCUACAACAAUUCUAGGAAAGAGGAUCUGGAAUGUAUUAAUUUCACCUAUUCAUUCGCCAUGCUAUUUAGUUUUAGCCUGAUAGCUAAAUUUCCAUAAGUUGCUGAAAAAUAACUGAAGUUCAAUUUUUGUUUCAAUAAAGUUACUGGUGUCAUAUUCUGUUUAAAUUAUCCUUCAUUACACAAAUCUGAUCAUUAAAAGUACAAUGUGCAGCUUCUAAUUUGCCAAGGCCUUAUUUGUUAUAUGUUUAUUUAUACUUUGAUUGUCAGCAUGAUCUCAAAUGUAUCUUUUGGCAUCUUAUUUAUUCCUGAUUAGGAAACAUAAAGCAGUCCUUCUAGUCAAGGGACUUUAAUGGAAGUUUUAAAUUUAUCACUAAAAGGAAAUCUGAUGUCUGGUUUAGCAAAACUGGCCUUGGCAUUGUGUUUAUAAACCAAGAAACUGCAGAUGCCUUUUUUACUACUUGUCAAAUGCUUUGUUCUGCAUCGUUGCUGUUAUGAUCAGUCUGAUCUGUGAGCCUAUGUUUAAUAGAAGAUGCCCAAAGCAUCAUUUCAUGUUCUCAUUUGGAUUUGCUUAUUGGCAGUCUUUGUGUGCAUGAGUUCCUGAG
rnacentral:misc_RNA from 1 species